rnacentral:tRNA from 1 species
GCCGAAGUGGCGGAAUUGGCAGACGCGUUAGAUUCAGGGUCUAAUUCCCGUUUAGGGAGUGGGGGUUCGACUCCCCCCUUCGGCA